UGUAAAACUAAAUUUUUUUAUAGAUUUGGCAACAUCCAGCAACGUCACAUGUAAUUAUCAAUAUGGCGGUCUAAAAAAGUGUAUAAAAUCCAAUUUUCAAAGUCUUUUAUUAUGAAAACUAAUGGAUAAUCCGCAAAAUUUUUUUUUGAGAAUAGCUUAAAAUAAUGUAUAUUUUCGUAUUUUCCAAAAAAUUUCUCUCAUAGCGGAUGCCUACUAACGGCCACGGCACCUAUAUCUGGAAAACCAGCCGACUUAAUCGAUAAUAACAAUCUCCAGAUUGGGUUCCUUCAAUAAAUAUGGGCUAUAAACACAAUGAAAUAAGUUCCCCAAAAUCUAAAAUGGAGUGGUAUCAAAGGAGAAUUAAAGGGAAAAAUAUUCAUAUUGAAAUUAUUUAUAAGGCACUGGACUGUCUUAAAUUCUACAAUAAUACUAGAAUCAGCUGAGAGAAGUGGUCUACAAAAAACCAGGAAGGAAACGGAAUAUGUGGCUACGAAAGGCAAAAGAAAGGUUUACAAAGCAAAUGUGACACAUUUUUUUGAAAUAUUUAGGAGUAUCAGUAAAUUGCAUUAAAAAAAUGUAUGAAAAGAUUUUGUUCAAUAAAAAUGUUUAUAUUUA